GAUGAACGCUGGCGGCGUGCCUAAUACAUGCAAGUCGAGCGAACAGAUAAGGAGCUUGCUCCUUUGACGUUAGCGGCGGACGGGUGAGUAACACGUGGGUAACCUACCUAUAAGACUGGAAUAACUCCGGGAAACCGGGGCUAAUGCCGGAUAACAUUUAGAACCGCAUGGUUCUAAAGUGAAAGAUGGUUUUGCUAUCACUUAUAGAUGGACCCGCGCCGUAUUAGCUAGUUGGUAAGGUAACGGCUUACCAAGGCAACGAUACGUAGCCGACCUGAGAGGGUGAUCGGCCACACUGGAACGGAGACACGGUCCAGACCCCUACGGGAGGCAGCAGUAGGGAAUCUUCCGCAAUGGGCGAAAGCCUGACGGAGCAACGCCGCGUGAGUGAUGAAGGUCUUCGGAUCGUAAAACUCUGUUAUUAGGGAAGAACAAAUGUGUAAGUAACUGUGCACGUCUUGACGGUACCUAAUCAGAAAGCCACGGCUAACUACGUG
rnacentral:rRNA from 1 species